rnacentral:rRNA from 1 species
UACGUAGGGGGCAAGCGUUGUCCGGAAUCAUUGGGCGUAAAGCGCGUGUAGGCGGUUCGGUAAGUCUGCUGUGAAAGUCCAGGGCUCAACCCUGGGAUGCCGGUGGAUACUGUCGGACUAGAGUACGGAAGAGGCGAGUGGAAUUCCCGGUGUAGCGGUGAAAUGCGCAGAUAUCGAGAGGAACACCUGCGGCGAAGGCGGGUUGCUGGGCUGACACUGACGCUGAGGCGCGAAAGCUAGGGGAGCGAACGGG